rnacentral:rRNA from 1 species
AGGUACUCCGGGGAUAACAGGCUGAUACCGCCCAAGAGUUCAUAUCGACGGCGGUGUUUGGCACCUCGAUGUCGGCUCAUCACAUCCUGGGGCUGAAGUAGGUCCCAAGGGUAUGGCUGUUCGCCAUUUAAAGUGGUACGCGAGCUGGGUUUAGAACGUCGUGAGACAGUUCGGUCCCUAUCUGCCGUGGGCGUUGGAGAAUUGAGAGGGGCUGCUCCUAGUACGAGAGGACCGGAGUGGACGCAUCACUGGUGUACCAGUUGUCUCGCCAGAGGCAUUGCUGGGUAGCUAAAUGCGGAAGAGAUAAGUGCUGAAAGCAUCUAAGCACGAAACUCGCCUUAAGAUGAGUUCUCCCUAGCUAUAAGCUAGUAAGGGUUGUUGGAGACUACGACGUAGAUAGGUCUGGUGUGUAAGCGGUGUGAGCCGUUGAGCUAACAGAUACUAAUUGCCCGAGAGGCUUAACU